AUGCCUUUUCCUUCUAAACCAUCCAAGAAAAAGGAUGACGAGGAUUUUGAGCGCUUUGCUGAAAUGAUUAGUCCUAUCUUUUUGCGUAUGCGUUUAACUGAUAUGCUCAAAAUGAAUCCUUAUGCUAAGUAUAUGAAAGAAAUUGUUACUAAUAAAAGAAAGAUACCGGAAGCUGAAAUUUCCACCAUGCUUGCUAAUUAUACUUUUAAGGGUGGAAUACCUAAGAAACUAGGAGAUCCAGGAGUACCAACUAUACCAUGCUCCAUUAAAAGAAAUUAUGUUAGAACUGCUUUAUGUGAUCUUGGAGCCGGUGUUAGUGUUAUGCCUUUCUCUUUAUAUCGUAGACUUGACUUGAAUAAGUUAACACCUACUGAAAUAUCUUUGCAAAUGGCUGAUAAAUCAACUGCUAUACCUGUCGGUAUUUGUGAGGAUGUGCCUGUUGUGGUUGCGAACGUUACUAUUUUAACGAACUUUGUUAUUCUUGAUAUUCCCGAGGACGAUAGUAUGUCUAUUAUUCUUGGAAGACCCUUUUUGAAUACUGCAGGGACUGUUAUUGAUUGCAACAAAGGCAAUGUCACUUUUCAUGUUAAUGGUAAUGAGCAUACGGUACACUUUCCGAGGAAACAAUCUCAAGUCCACAGUAUCAAUUCUAUUGGAAAAAUUCCAUCGAUUAUUUUUGGAGGUUUUGAAUUUCCUCUUCCUACUGCCAAGAAGAAAUAUGAUAUUCUUAUUAUUGGGGACGUGCAUAUCCCCAUUGAGGUAACAUAG
rnacentral:rRNA from 1 species